rnacentral:rRNA from 1 species
UACGAGGGGUGCAAGCGUUGCUCGGAAUUAUUGGGCGUAAAGGGUAGGUAGGUGGUCUCAUUUGUCUGGGGUGAAAGCCUUGAGCUUAACUCAAGAAGUGCCCCGGAAACGGUGAGACUGGAGUCUCGGAGAGGGUCGCGGAAUUCCCGGUGUAGAGGUGAAAUUCGUAGAUAUCGGGAGGAACACCAGUGGCGAAGGCGGCGAUCUGGGCAGACACUGACGCUGAGGUGCGAAAGCGUGGGGAGCAACAGG